rnacentral:lncRNA from 12 species
CAAUCCUUGGUGCGAGGAUGACAAGGUGACCAGAGGCGGGUGUCGUCUCUGACUUGGAUCCUGCCCCCAGGUGCUCCUCACCCCCUGGGGGACACAGACGGGCACCCGAGGUACCCAGAGCCAAAAGAAGGGAGUCCUCUGGUGGCCCAGAGGAGGGACAGGCCACAUCCGUCCGAUGUGGGGAGCGGAAGGGCUUCCCGGAGCAGGUGACCUUUGGAUUGCUUUAAAGGAAGGAGACGCGGAGGGGUGUUCUAUCCAGGAGGAGGGACCAGCUGCAGCAGAGGCCUGGGGAUGGGGACAGUGGUUGCUGUGAUGACCAGGAUGCAAGGCCAAGGUGUGGGGACGCAGAGAGAGCAGCUUGGGGAGGUAGACUGGGACCCCGGAGGCCGGGUGUGAUGUUCUGCGUGACAGGGAGCCGUGGGAGGGGCUUGAGCAGAGGGGCCACUUGCCUAGAGGCGGGCUGCUUGGAGGGUAUUUGGAGGGAAGUCUAGUUGUCUGGGUGGAGCUUAGGUUUUUAUGAGGGAGGCCCUUAAAGAGGAGGCUCGUCUUCUAACUGGACUUCUGGCAUCCUGACCUCACCCCAUGGCACAGGCCCCUCUGGAGGGCAGUGGAGAAGAGGAAGGGAUUUGGAGUCCAAAGAUCUGGCUUCUGGUUCUGAUCCUGCUCUGGAACCCUGGGUCCUCAAAUGGAUCACUGGCCUUCCCAGGCCUCUACUUUCCCACCUGCAAAAUGGAGCCAUGAGGUUUUUCCCUUUCUCUGUUUGUCCAGUUCUGGCUGACUCGUGAGGCCCCGAUGACAGAUGGGGAAGGGACCACCCUCUGUCACCCAGCCCGCCAACAGCCAGUCAGGUGGGCACCCAGGCUCUGGAGGAGGGCUUCCUGGUGAGGAUUUGUGGUUUGGAGAGCCCGCUGGGGCUGGCCUCCGGACACAGCUCUGUCCCCAGCAAGCUGCCACCGCCCUCAGCCCUGAUGCAGGUGAGAAGCAGGGAAGGAUCAGAGACCCCGAGAGGCAUGAAGACCAGCAAGGGCUCAGAGGGACAUGGAGAAGGACCAAGGUCCAACUUACGAUGGAGACCACGCUGAGCUCGGAAAACGCGGCCCCUCCUCUGACCCUCAGGGAUACCCAUGCCCAGGCGGUGUGGCCACAGCCACUGGCUGCAGAAGGAGCAGGAGGUGAAGGUGGUGGCCCUACUCCUCUCCAGGUCCUCAGGCCAGAUCCCACGUGGGCCCAAAGUGCGUUCGGGGGGAGCUUUUAGAAUUUGGGAAGUUAAGACUUUGGAACUUUGAGCAUCUUGGAAAACUUAGAGCUUUCAGGAUCUUCAGAAAUCUUGAAAUCUUGGAACCGUUCUAAUCUUUGGAAUGUUGAAAUCUGGAGCGCUUUUAGGAUCUUGGAGCCUUCUGACAUCCUGGGUUGAGGCCCGUUGAGGGAUUUAAACCGAGGGCUCUUGCCAUCUUAGGGUGGAAUUGCCCUCUCGGUGUAGACACGGACAUUCACCAGCACACAUGGCCUCUCCCUCCCACCAGCGCUUGGAGCCCGUCUUUCAAAUACCCCGAUCUUGCACAGGUUUUCGUUGCAGAAUUUUUUCAGGCUGUAAAAAUAAAAUUGUAGUGAUC